rnacentral:rRNA from 1 species
AUUGAACGCUGGCGGAAUGCUUUACACAUGCAAGUCGAACGGCAGCACGGACUUCGGUCUGGUGGCGAGUGGCGAACGGGUGAGUAAUGUAUCGGAACGUGCCCAGUCGUGGGGGAUAACGUAGUGAAAAUUACGCUAAUACCGCAUACGAUCUCUGGAUGAAAGCGGGGGAUCGCAAGACCCCGCGCGAUUGGAGCGGCCGAUAUCAGAUUAGGUAGUUGGUGGUGUAAAGGCCCACCAAGCCAACGAUCUGUAGCUGGUCUGAGAGGACGACCAGCCACACUGGAACUGAGACACGGUCCAGACUCCUACGGGAGGCAGCAGUGGGGAAUUUUGGACAAUGGGCGAAAGCCUGAUCCAGCCAUUCCGCGUGCAGGAUGAAGGCCCUCGGGUUGUAAACUGCUUUUGUACAGAACGAAAAGGUUUCUACUAAUACUAGGAGCUCAUGACGGUACUGUAAGAAUAAGCACCGGCUAACUACGUGCCAGCAGCCGCCGUAA